AGAGCGAACGCUGGCGGCAUGCUUAACACAUGCAAGUCGCACGGAUCGGGGGUAACUCCGGUCAGUGGCGGACGGGUGAGUAACGCGUAGGUAUCUAUCUCCGGGUGGGGGACAACUGUGGGAAACUACAGCUAAUACCGCAUGAUGCCCGAGGGCCAAAGCAGCAAUGCGCCUGGAGAGGAGCCUGCGUACGAUUAGCUUGUUGGCGGGUAAUGGCCCACCAAGGCGACGAUCGUUAGCUGGU
rnacentral:rRNA from 1 species